AUGGGAGGGUUUAAGGGGACGAGCGGCGAGGAAGAAGACAAGGGCAAAAAGAAAAAGAUCGAAUAAUGGAAAGGCUAAUUUUUUCUUUGAGGGAAUGGGAAAAGGCAAAGCGCUCUGUCCCCCACAGGCCCGCAGCGAAAGAUUCCGAGUUCUGGGCCAGUGGAACUGCAUCGGCAAGGGGGACCUCGAGCCCGACGGCGUCCACCGGAUUCUGGACUACGCCGCCGCCUGCUCCGUCGCCGACCUCCACGUGGACUUCGCCCACGGAGCCCUGGGCUUCAUUUUCAAGCUCCGCCUCCCGCGGGCGACCCGCACCUCACGCGCCUCACCGUCGGCAGCAUCCGCGUCGGCCUCUCCAAGCCCUUCUCCGCCCGCUGCCACACCUUCUCCGUCCUCGAGGUCAUCUACCUCGAGGGCGUCACGCUCUCCGACCACACCGUCGAGAACCUGGUCGCCGCGUGCCCCCUCCUCCGCGCCCUCGACCUGCGCUACUGCGAUGGCCUCGAUUUCGUCAACGUCGAGGCCGCCGGGCCGCACCUGAGGAGCCUCACCGUCGCGGAGUGCGGAGGGGUGAGAGACAUUUCUACCAUGGAGGCGCCCAGCCUUCGCUCCUUCCGCUACAGCGGCUCCUACAGCCGCGCCCUGACAAUCCCUGCCGCCUGCGCGCUCGCCGACCUUUACCUAUGCUUCGGCGGACCUGCCGGUCGCCUCCGGCCUCUCGGCACCCCACUCUGUUUCGAUUUUGCUUGGCCUGCAGGGGUGCCAAGAAAUUGGCUUCAGGCACCGUGCUUACCCUCUGCAGCAGUGCCCUGCGGAGAGUGUCUGCCAAGGCUCGUGAGAGAUCACUAACCAAAAGUGGUGCCGCGUCGUGCGAAUUGCGGAAUUUGAGAGAGCUGCAGCUGCUGAUGUUUGCAAUGUAUAACAGCAGCGUGGAUGACAUUUGUGUUUUCAUCGUGGCCUGCUGCCCCUCUCUAUUAGAGAGGAUGUUUGUGCAGCUUCCAACAAAUAGUCACUAUUAUAGAGCAGGCUCGGAACCAUCAGAAUCAGAGGAAGAGCUACUAGAGGAAAACAGGCCAGUGGAGGAUCUGCGGGGAGAAGCGCCACCUGAGGAAGAUGGGCCAGAGGGAGAGCUACCAGAAGAGGAAGAUGAGCUUCAGGAGGAGCUACCAGAGGGAGAGCUAUCAGAAGAGGAAGUUGAGCUUCAAGACGAGCUGCCAGAGGGAGAGCUAUCGGAAGAGGAAGAUGAGCUUCAAGACGAGCUGCCAGAGGGAGAGCUAUCAGAAGAGGAAGAUGAGCUUCAAGACGAGCUGCCAGAGGGAGAGGCGUCGGAGGAAAAUCAAUCAGAGGAAGACUGGUCAGAUGAAGAGCUAUCUGAUGGAGGGCAAUCAGAGGAAGACCCAGUAGAAGAUUGCCUUGAGAACCUUAAGUUGCUCAAGAUGACGAAUUUCAAGGGGGGUGACAAUGAGAUGAGGCUACUAAGGUUUGUGUUGAGGAACUCUACUAGUCUCAACCAAUUGCUGCUAUUUACAUCGAAGAGUGAUCGACCAGAGUGGCUCCAGAAGGAUCAUCUGGAUACGUCCGAUAUUCUCGAAACAAAAAUAUUGCCUCUCCAAAAAGCCCUACCAAAUUGCCAGAUAAUUCUCAGUGAGUCUGAUGGUGAUGCAAUUCAGGCAUUUCAUCGGGAGGCCUUUGUCAACUUUCCGGAGCCCACCCCCCUCAUCGAUCUUAGCCGGCUCACGGACGCCGACGAGGCCGAGAGGCUCCGGGCGGCUCUGCAGACCUGGGGCUUCUUCCUGGCCACCAACCAUGGGAUCGAGGACUCUCUCAUGGACGCCAUGAUGAGCGUGUCGAGGGAGUUCUUCCGGCAGCCGGCAGAGGAGAAGCAGAAAUGCAGCAACCUGGUGGACGGCAACGGCAAGGACUACCAGGUGGAAGGGUAUGGCAGUGACAAGGUGGUGUCCGAGGAUCAGGUCCUCAACUGGAGCGACCGGUUGCAUCUGAGAGUGGAGCCGGAAGAUGAGAGGAAUUUCGCCAAGUGGCCCAGUCACCCGGAAUCUUUCAGGGACGUGCUACAAGAGUACGCAUCAAGAACCAAGAAAAUAAGAGACCUCGUCUUGCGAUCGAUAGCCGAGCUCCUGGAGAUUGACGAGGACUACUUCGUCAACCAGAUAUCAAACAAGGCUUCCGGGUUUGCUAGAUUCAACUACUACCCUCCAUGCCCAAGGCCUGACCUAGUUUUGGGCCUCAGGCCUCACUCCGACGGUGGUCUCCUUACCAUCCUUUUCAACGAUGACAACGUCGGUGGCUUGCAAAUUCAAAGAGAUGGGAGAUGGUACAAUGUUCCGACCAAGCCUCACACAUUGUUGAUUAACCUAGCAGACUGCCUAGAAAUAAUGAACAAUGGAAUCUUUAGGAGCCCAUUUCAUAGAGUGGUGACGAACGUCGAGAAGGAUAGGCUUUCCCUGGCUGUGUUUUACGCCGUGGAUGCGGAAACGAUGUUGGAGCCAGCGCCCGGUUUGCUGGAUGACAAGCGACCAUCAAGGUAUAGGAAAAUGUUGGCCAAGGAUUUCGUGGCUGGGCUCUUUGAACAUUUCCGUCAAGGGAAGAGAUUCAUCGACACCCUGAAAAUAUAGGUUCAUCGUUUAUUAUGGAGUCGUAGCAGUGAUUGCCUAUGAAGAAUAAAGAGAUGGUUUUAUCUGUUGUGUGAGUGGGGGUUUUGUCUACCUUCGCCUUUCUUAUAAGCGACUCAGUUCAGUUAACCCAUGUAAUGCACUCCGUAAUGUCAAAUAAAAAUGGUGCACUCGCAUAUUCGGGAAA